rnacentral:tRNA from 1 species
CAAAAUGUAGCUAAAUAGAUAAAGCAUCUCUUUUACACUGAGAAGUCGUUUGUGCAAAUCAAACCAUAUUGA